rnacentral:rRNA from 1 species
UACGUAGGGGGGCUAGCGUUGUCCGGAAUCAUUGGGCGUAAAGAGCGCGUAGGCGGCCAGAUAAGUCCGGUGUGAAAGUCACAGGCUCAACCUGUGAAUGCCGCUGGAAACUGUCUGGCUUGAGUCCGGGAGGGGCGAGUGGAAUUCCUGGUGUAGCGGUGAAAUGCGCAGAUAUCAGGAAGAACACCCGUGGCGAAGGCGGCUCUCUGGGACGGUACUGACGCUGAGACGCGAAAGCGUGGGGAGCGAACAGG